GAGGGAGGGGAAGGGUGGCGAAAUCGUUUUCCUGUGAGUCAAGGGACGACAGCUGUCACCACGGAGCGGGGAGGAGGUGGAGAACGGGGUCCAAGCCUUCACGAAACAGCGGCAGCGAGUCACAACACGCAGUCAGAAACAUGAGGCCCUUAAAAAUACAGUAAUUCAUACUACAUCAAAGCAGUGAUUAGCACAGCUUCCUGGCUGGGUCUUUCUGCUUAUUUAUGGUACAUUACACAUUUUAAUGCUAUUUUCAUAAGGUGUUUCAGCUGCCACGGUCCCAUAUCUGGGAGACAAAAGUGCCUGAGGAACACUACAAUUAUCCGGUCCCCACUCCGGGCCGUGCACAAACCCAGCGUCAAUGCCAGUGACAGCCACCACCCCAAAGGGGAAGCACCAGAGGACGCGUUCCCAAGGCCCCCUCCACGGGGCUUGGGCCAAGACGCUGGGACGGAAGGCGACGCGGGGUGAGGGGAGCAGGGGCACGGCCACCUGCAUCUCCGUCAGUUCUCCGUUGGGGCUGCGGAAGCCUCUGUCGAGGUCCUUCUAUCACCGUGUCCCCAAGCUGAGUCUCCAUGAGGACUUCAUUCCCUCAACUCUGGAGCUCGUCGGUCCUCCCCGCAAACUGGGUUUAUUUGAAACCCAUGUGAGUCCGAAUCAGCGCCAGACACAGAGAGAGAGAAAGGAAAAGUCUACCACACAAAGGAAUGAAUUUUGCCGUGUCCCAGGGAUGGCAACAUUAGUUGAUUCAUUCAACAAGUGUUUGUCGAAUGCCUGCCAUGCACCAACCUCUAUGCUGGGCCUGGGGCAGAAGAGUGACAAGUCAGACAAGAACCUGAUUUUGAGGAGCGAGAGUCUGGUGAGAGAAGGCCUUAAUGACCGAGAAAACAAGUAA
rnacentral:lncRNA from 1 species